rnacentral:sRNA from 1 species
CGCAGUAGUAAGCCGGACCACAAGGCAUUCGGGGGCAGGGACGGGGGACCCAAUACCGGUCACUUCCGCAUCGUCGCUCCGGCGGCGUCUCGGGAGGACCUCGGGGUGAAGCCGCCCACCCGCGGCCGGGCAAGCCUUCCCGCCCGAACCCGACAGCUAACCUCGCAGGCGUGCCGGAGGGAAUUC